ensembl:lncRNA
CAAACAUGCAGAAAUGAAAACAUUUUACUUUUUUCUUUGCCAGUAUGUACAUUUCUCAGUAAAUAUUAUUAAAGAUGCUGACACUAACAACAGAGCUUCUUCUCUUCGUAGCCAAAUCGCUUUUUCUGUUUUCCUUCUGCAGUUAAAGAAGUCAUAAACAAUCUCUGUCUGAUCACAGUUCUACAAGUGUAGCAAUUAUUUUCUAAUCAAUUUCAGAGCAGUAUUUCCUGAUUUUUCCUGACUUGAACUCUUCAGAAGGGAUCCUGCAGUGCUCUGUGUUACAUAACUUCUGAUGAAGUCACUUUGUCCAGUCUAUAUGAUGAACUGCAGCAGUAAUCCAUUUACAGGUUUUGUAUUGCCAAGGUGGG